AUUGAACGCUGGCGGCAUGCUUUACACAUGCAAGUCGAACGGUAACAGGCCGCAAGGUGCUGACGAGUGGCGAACGGGUGAGUAAUGCAUCGGAACGUGCCCAGUCGUGGGGGAUAACUGCUCGAAAGAGCAGCUAAUACCGCAUACGAUCUAUGGAUGAAAGCGGGGGCCGUAAGGCCUCGCGCGAUUGGAGCGGCCGAUGUCAGAUUAGGUAGUUGGUGGGGGAAAGGCUCACCAAGCCAACGGUCUGUAGCUGGUCUGAGGGGACGACCAGCCACACUGGGACUGAGAAACGGCCCAGACUCCGACGGGAGGCAGCAGUGGGGAAUUUUGGACAAUGGGCGCAAGCCUGAUCCAGCAAUGCCGCGUGCAGGAUGAAGGCCUUCGGGUUGUAAACUGCUUUUGUACGGAACGAAAAGCCCUGGGUUAAUACCCUGGGGUCAUGACGGUACCGUAAGAAUAAGCACCGGCUAACUACGUGCCAGCCGCCGCCGUAACAC
rnacentral:rRNA from 1 species